AAACAAUUCACUUUAUAUGUGAUAUCAACUUCACUUAGCUACACUCAAAUUGCAUUGAAAUUUGAGAUAAUACAUCAUUCAAUUUAUCUAAGGUUUGCAAAUUAUUUUUCAUUCAUUAGGAUUAUUUUGUAAAUCUAAGAAAUUUGGAAACUGUAGUUUACGACUUACGUAAAUUAUGAGGCAGUUUGUGAAAAAAAAAAA
rnacentral:lncRNA from 1 species